rnacentral:rRNA from 1 species
UGCAGCAGGCGCGAAAACUCUACAAUGCAGGCAGCUGCGAUAGGGGAACAUCGAGUGGCGUCCAUAUUGGAUGUCUGUCCUCCCGCCUAAAAAGCGGGAGUUAGCAAGGGCCGGGCAAGACCGGUGCCAGCCGCCGCGGUAAUACCGGCGGCUCGAGUGGUGGCCGAUAUUAUUGAGUCUAAAGGGUCCGUAGCCGGCUUUGCAAGUCUCUCGGGAAAUCCAGCGGCUUAACCGUUGGUCGUCCGGGGGGUACUACAUUGCUUGGGACUGGGAGAGGUAGGAGGUACUCAGGGGGUAGGAGUGAAAUCCUGUAAUCCUUUGGGGACCACCGGUGGCGAAGGCGUCCUACCAGAACAGGUCCGACGGUGAGGGACGAAAGCUAGGGGCACGAACCGGAUUAGAUACCCGGGUAGUCCUAGCCGUAAACGAUGCUCGCUAGGUGUCACAACAGUCGUGAACUGUUGUGGUGCCGUAGGGAAGCCGUGAAGCGAGCCACUUGGGAAGUACGACCGCAAGGUUGAAACUUAAAGGAAUUGGCGGGGGAGCAC